rnacentral:rRNA from 1 species
UUGGGAGCGUGCUGGUGCUGAUGCUUCCUCUGCUGGUAUGGUUGACGCCGGAUUUGAGAAUCAAAAAGAGCUUACUAAAAUGCACCUGGACAAUCAGAAAGAGAUUGCCGAGAUGCAAAAUGAGACUCAAAAAGAGAUUGCUGGCAUUCAGUCGGCGACUUCACGCCAGAAUACGAAAGACCAGGUAUAUGCACAAAAUGAGAUGCUUGCUUAUCAACAGAAGGAGUCUACUGCUCGCGUUGCGUCUAUUAUG